CAGCACUAGCAAGGCAGUAGCUUGCGCAGUUAUCUCCACAGCGGGCAGUAUCACAACCCGAAGAACAGCACAAACUACUACCUCAGCCAGGGUCAUGGUGCACCCGACCUAUCUUGAAUGGGGAAGGGAAGGCGGGGACGAGAAGGAAGGGGAAAAAGAAAAGCGAGAGAGAUGGAAAGCAUGCUCAACUUUCAACGAAGCGAAAUCUCCAAAGAGAACUGAAGAAAGAUUUUCGCCCCUUUAUCUGCCGCAGACAUCAGCCCGGGUCUUGUCCUCGCCUGGCUACGAGAACCCCGCCCCGAUCGCUCAUCUCCCCACCAGCGUUGCCAUUUUCCUCGCCUGUCCUGAACAUCUCGUUCAUUAGGCACAUUACAGGCCCCAGCUGUGAGCGUCGCGGGCCGCAUAAUAAGUCAGUCGCCCGCAGCGCCACAGAGAGGAAAAAUCCCUGAGGUAAUCCACGGUGCUGCACCCGCUUUUUCUUCCCUCAGCGGUCACUCGCCUUUGUUCGAGCAACGAGGGUACCCUCUGCAGACAUGCAUCGCCUCAGUUUAGGAGGAAAAAGCAGUUCACAAAGAGCCGCCCAGCGAGGCGCCAUUCCGAGCGGUCCACGACUGCAGAACUAAACCUUUCUGACGGCAUGUCUUUGACGCUCCCGCCGCUUUCGGCUCCCCUUCCAGCCCACACGGCUUUCUCGGAAAGGAUGAGAAAACUCGCCUCCGCUGGCUGCCUCUCGCGCGCCCAACCGGCUGAACCAUAGAGAACAGGGGAGGUGAAGGGCUCGUAAAUUAUCACGUGAUUAGACUGUGUGUCGUAAAGGCUGUUGCCAGCGCCAUUUUGAGCCAGAGGGAGUGGGGGCGGGGGAAUAAAAUAAGGCAGAUUAGAGUUCUUUUUCUUGCUUAUUUUGUCGGGAAGCAAUGUGAAGAUCGAACCUUUACGAUUCGAAACCCCGAAGAAAGUUGGAAUUUGUAUGGAUUUCCACUGCAACCCACUUUUCUGUCCUAUUGUCACUUUAGGGGGGCAUUCAGCAGAAAACGAAAAUCAGCGGGAAACUUGAAAGGCUACCCUUUUCGCGCUCUUAGUGAGGAAUAGUGGGAAAUGUAGUUCAGAAUGCGCUAACGAACCAGCGGCAACACUUUUCGUGAAGAAAUGACGAAGAUUUGCUCGUAAAAUAAACGCAUUUUGAAUAGCAGAGAAA